rnacentral:rRNA from 1 species
UACGUAGGGGGCAAGCGUUGUCCGGAAUUACUGGGCGUAAAGCGUGCGCAGGCGGUUAUUUAAGUCAGGUGUGAAAGCCCUGGGCUUAACCUAGGAAUUGCGCUUGAGACUGGAUAGCUUGGAGUGCGGCAGAGGGAGGUGGAAUUCCACGUGUAGCAGUGAAAUGCGUAGAGAUGAUGGAGGAACACCGAUGGCGAAGGCAGCCUCCUGGGCCAGCACUGACGCUCAUGCACGAAAGCGUGGGGAGCAAACAGG